AGAUUCCAACCUACACAUUUCAGAACAAAAAAGACAACUGUUAUACCAGUAUAUACAUUUAUCUAUAUAGAAAUGUACAGCAACACAUAAAGUAAUCCCCUAUCAUUUAUUCCAAUUAUAGACUUAUUCAGGUGUCCUAAAGUCUGAAAAAGGUAAAUUUAUGUGGAGGCAAAAGUCUGUUUUUGCAUCCCUUCUGCUGUCAUUUUUCUCAGCCUCUAUAUGUGAAGUCCAACUUUCUGAAAACAAAACCUUCUUUACAGAUGCAUAAUUUUCGAGCGCCAGAAGAGCUCUUCAGAGAAGCCUGCACUGUUGGCAGACCCCUCAGGUGCUCUGGAGGACAUUUACUUCAUCCGGUGAGGAGUAGAGUGGCAACUGUCACCCAGCAGACUUUAUCUUCAGCCAAACCUAGACUGUGGAAUGACCUGUCUGAAGACUUUUUUGGCAGGCCUAUCCAGGUAGUUUUUUUCAUUGUAAAUUUUAAAUUAUGGAAUGUUUUAAAAUGUACUGGUUUUGUAUGUUCUUUUAAACUGAUGUUAUGUGUUUUACCUGGUUUAUGUGUUUUUGACUGAUGUUUUGUUUGGAAUUUUAAUCUGAUCCAUAGGGAGUAAUAGGUAAGAAAUGUUGUUGUUAUUGUUAUCAUCACUAUCAUCAUUAUUUUGAUGCAACAUAAUAUUCCAACUGUGGGGUUCCCAUUGUUCAGUGAGGUUGAUUAGAAUGCCAACAAGGGCAUUUGCACAUUUUUUUAGACUUCAUGGCACAUGAACAGAGCUGGGAAACUUCUCCAUUAGUGGAAAACAAAGACAUAGCUGAGAUCCCUUUUUCCCUAUGUAGCCACAAAGGGGAAAAAUGCUAAUAAUAUCUAGUGCUGAACUAUAUAUUAUUAGCCGUAAUAAUAGUUAUGUAACUUCUGUUUUCAGGGUAAGACCAUGGGUCAUCUUUCAGGCAAAAUGUGACAUCAGUCAUGUACUCCAAAGGUCCAAUCUGGACUACAGAGGAAGUGCUCCAUCAAUGACAGUUAAGUUAAUCAUGUUUAGUUCCUUCUCUGCAGCCUGAGAAUGGAGAAUAUUUUAAUCAAAUUAUUGAAGAGUCCUUUGUUGCAGCAGGGGGGGAUAUCCUUAUUUGGCACCAGACUUUUAAAAAAUCCUUCCAGAUAUAAAUGUUUUUCUCUACCAUUUAUUAAUUUACCAUUCUAAUAAGUGCCUCUAUAUUUUAUUUUGCACCAUCUCCUAAGGAACAAAGCACUGAUAGAACACCCUAGCGAAGUAUAUAAAAAGAAAGGGACUAAUUAUCAUAAAGUAUAGUUCAACAACUGAUGACAACAUAUCUGAAAAUAAAAGAACGUCUUAGGUUGCAUUAACAGUGCACAACUCAUAAAAUUGUUGGACAGUCUUGGGAUUGGGACCUUUUUUACUAAAUGUUUGCUAAGUAUUAAACCUUACAACAAAGAACAGCCUUAUUGAGCAAGGGGAGCACUCUAUAACAUAAUGAUUCUUUAAGAGUGCAGAUUAUAUAUUGCCAGCAGGAAGGAAAACAUGUGAUCUUAAACAUCAUUAGUUCUCUUUAGCAAGCUCUUUAUAUUCCUCAUCCGCUUACUGUCAUUUUUUAAAUAGCAAAGACUACAACCUUUGAAACAUUGAGGUAAAACCAGAAGUGUGGUUUCAUUUAGUGAACUUAGCAUUUUCACACUAUUAUAGCUGAAAAGCAAAUGUAAGUUUGGCUUCACUGACAGAAAAGAAGAAAAGGAAAAUAAGGGCACCGUUUAUGCUCAAACACUCUCCCUAAGGACUUAGCACUUACUGAAAGACAGUAAAGCAAAAAGAGGAAGAAGGCGGGAGAAGGAAAUCAUGGAGUGGAAUGGUUAUAUUUCUGCAAUAGUUCAUUUUAUAUAUUUAACAAAAACCCAUUGUAUUAUGCUGCAUCUACUAUUGAGUUCACUGAUUCUGAUAAAAAGAUCUCUGUUAAUAAUCUAAAAACUUCUGGGAUGCCCUUGGGUGCUAGAUCCUGAAAGCACCCAUUCAUAGGUAGACAUCUUAUAUUCCUUAUACUGCAGAAACAUUAGCAGAAUCAUUGUCAUAAGUGUAUGAAAGAAUUAGCCAGGGUUUUUUCUAGCAGAAUAACAGAGACUACAUAUAAAAAAUAAAGUGGCAAAGAACAGAAAUAAAUUAGUGGGAGUUCUCACCCUUUCCAAGCUAACAAUUAAUUCCCUAAUAGUAAAAAUAAAUUCAGCUUUAAUUUUUAGCUAUAUAAAAAAACAUUGCUACCUUUCAAAAAAUGAAUAGGUGAAUGCAGGAUAAACAAUGUGCACAGAGUGAUCAUCCACAAUGAUGAGGAUGACUGCAGUUGUGAGAUGCAAUCACAGCUGGGAGAAUGGGGGCAACAAUGAAAUCAGCAGUUAUUAAUACAAGAAAAGUGAGUCUGUCCAUGAGCAAGAUGUCACUCAAAAUGCAUAACAUUCAACAUUUGGCAGAUGCAAUCUGAAACAUGUGUAACCAAGCAACAUCGGAAUGUGGUUAAUAUGAACAAACACACAAGUUAGGAGAGGCUGCAAUGGUUUGCUGUUUCUUAAAUCUACUAGGAACUACUUUUGGACUUUGGUCUCAACUUGAAGCAACAGAAAUAUACUAAGGACAAAUGUGGAAAGUGGGGAAAAGAGAAAGAGAUAGAGGCAUUUUAGAAGCAGCUUUAAAGGCAGGAAAAUAGAGGAUUAAUUGGGACUAUAUGUUCCUGCCAAAUCUGAAGAGUUGGAGGAUAUGUGAAAAAUCAUACCAGAAUUAUAAGUUUUAUGAGGGAGCCCACCCAUAUUUCCAUAAUCUUAAUCCUGAUCAUUGUACUUCUCCUCAUCUGAAUCUGUAUACAGUGGUGGUGCAACCCUUUCUUAAUUUGUUGACUCCGAACAAAAAUCCUGGAGCUUCCUUUCAGAGUUUGUGGUCCACUACAUCAGUUUCUUGCACAUAGACUAUGAAUAUAUUACUACAUAUAUUUAAUGCAUUACUCCAAAUAACACAUGACACUUUGAAAAGUAGCUUCUCUUAAAAAAAAUGUGUACAAGUAUUGUUUUAAGUCAGGACAAUUUAUAAUUUCAGGAUAUCUAGAAUUACAGGAACAAAUUUAAUAGACCUUUUCUGUGUCUUGAUGCAUCAGUGCAUGAGAGUUAAUUACUGUGCAGUUGUAUGAACAUUGUGGCAUUGUACUAGCAUGGUAUCAGGAAUAUUAAAUAUAUUACCACAAGUGUUUAA